rnacentral:sRNA from 1 species
GCAAAUCUAAUCCGAUUGCACAUCACAUUUCCAUCCAGAAGCACCUGCACAUGCUCACAAUUCGAAGUCACCAGAAUCGUAUUUGCAAUAACUUCCGCAUUCUGAUAAACCGCAAAAGUCGGAGCAACAUGUGGUGCUCCAUCGGCUCCCAGGAGUACUUCAAGACGGUCCACCUGCAUUUGGCACCCGAUUCCGACGGACUGCUGAGCCGCACAGCCCACUGAGAGCUCUUUGGACUCAUCGAUGACGUCACUGGAGAUCAAGAGAUCCGUUUUGGCGGAGAAUACAAGACGUUUAUCGAUGGAUAGAUUUUGCACAUUUCGAAUUGCCACGUUGAGCCGGUUGGCACACAG